GACGAACGCUGGCGGCGUGCUUAACACAUGCAAGUCGAACGGAAAGGCCCUGCUUUUGUGGGGUGCUCGAGUGGCGAACGGGUGAGUAACACGUGAGUAACCUGCCCUUGACUUUGGGAUAACUUCAGGAAAUUGGGGCUAAUACCGGAUAGGAGCUCCUGCUGCAUGGUGGGGGUUGGAAAGUUUCGGCGGUUGGGGAUGGACUCGCGGCUUAUCAGCUUGUUGGUGGGGUAGUGGCUUACCAAGGCUUUGACGGGUAGCCGGCCUGAGAGGGUGACCGGCCAGUGGGGGCUGGGAAUGAGGCCGGGACUCCAGCGGGAGGAAGAAGGGGGGAGUAUGGCACAAGGGGCGGAAGCCUGACGAAGCAAUGCCGCGGGCGGGAUGAGGGCCUUCGGGUUGUAAACCGCUUUCGCCUGUGACGAAGCGUGAGUGAGGGGAAUGGGUAAAGAGGCACCGGCUAACUACGUG
rnacentral:rRNA from 1 species